rnacentral:rRNA from 1 species
UACAGGGGGUGCAAGCGUUGCUCGGAAUCACUGGGCGUAAAGGGCGCGUAGGCGGCUUCUCAAGCGUGUGGUGAAAGUCCGGGGCUCAACCCCGGAUCGGCCGUGCGGACUGGGGAGCUCGAGUUCUGUAGAGGCGGGUGGAAUUCCGGGUGUAGCGGUGGAAUGCGUAGAGAUCCGGAAGAACACCGGUGGCGAAGGCGGCCCGCUGGGCAGAGACUGACGCUGAGGCGCGACAGCGUGGGGAGCAAACGAGG